AUAUUAAGUAAAGAUCAUGUUCCAUGAAGAUAUUUAGUAAAUUUCCUACCUUAAAUAUAUAAAAACUUUAUUUUUGUGAGUGGAUGGUCUGCCACAGUGCCCCUGAUUAACAACUUCAAAGGCAAUUUUCUCAAUAUUUUGAUUCUUUUGCUCUCUCAGAUUCCUGAGUUUUAAACGGUUGUCAGAUAUUGUCCUAUUCUAACAACUCAUAUAUCUAUAGAAAGUUUAUUUAUUCAGUUUUCAGAUUAUGUAAAAAUCUCAAUUUCGAAAAAUUGACCCAUAAGAUUGUUUUGUUGUCCAGGGUCACAAAUGAUAAAAUAUUAAACUAAAUAAUUUAAAUGAGAUAAAUAAUGGAAAUAAUAAACAAAAUAAAAUAAUCUAAUAGUUUAAGUUAGUCUAAUAGUUUAAAUUAGUAAAAGUAUGUAAUACAAUACAUUAAAUUGCGACCAGUAGUAAUUGCAGUUAAAAAUGUAUUCAUAUUCAUGUUUAUACAUAUAAAGUUUACUCUGUUGUUAUUGUUGUUGUUGUUAAAAUGUUAUUUGUCUGUUGUUUGUCAACUGUCCAUGUUCUUGAAAACUCCUCCUGUUGGUUUUAUGAGAACGUGAACGUUUCGCUUGCGCUUCGAAUCGAAUGAAUUUCGUUUUCCUCUCAAACAAGGUUAGCAGAAUGUAUUUAUAUAAGCUUCCGGGCAUUUUCAAACAUAACCAGCUGUGUCAUUUUCUGUUUUCAAAACUAGCCGGCAAGCUCCCCAGCACGAAACACACAUUCAGAUGAAACCAAUCUCCUCUUCCUCAGAAACCUUCUCUGCCGCUGCGAGAUGGAUAUGUCUCCAGACAAAACAGAAGCUCACUUGUCAACAUGUGGACUCGAGGUAAAAUGACAAACAACGACAGUUUCAAACUCAGAAGUGAUGAGACCACCUGAGCAACACACACACUGAUGAAAACCAAGAACCAAGAUUCUGAUAAUCAACCGUCUGCUGUGAUUGGCCUAGAGACUUUAUCGGUUUUAAUAAAAGCGAAGUCUCAGAGUCUGCGGAACAGAAUGCUAAGAUGGCAGUGGGACUACAGAAGGGAUCACAGAGAAUAAUUGAAGAAACAUUCUCAAACACAGGACUGCCAAAAACGGUUGAACACAAGAGUAGAUAUGCUGGUGACAACAACGGCGGUACCCAUUCACUUGCAUCAGUUUUGUGCCCAUACAAGACGAAUUUCAAUAGAUUUGGAUCGUGUCUUUCACUAUACAAAUUUCUUCAAAACAGCUUUGUCUUACAAACACCCAAGUGAAAGCGCCAGAGGCAACAGUGGUGAGAAAAACAUCCUGAGAUGUUGGAUGAGGAUGAAACCCGGGGAGGAACCAAGACUUGGACGGGCAUGUGUUUAAACAAAUCUUUGCAAAGCAUUUAUACACUCAUAGGAAACAAAUGAGACUUUUAUUCUUUUUCAUAGACAGCUAUUAGAUUUAAGAGAGGAUAAAUGGUGUUACAAUUUUUGGAUUUUUCAUUUAGGAUCAUCUCUAUGGAUUUUCUCUAGAGUUUCAUAGAGAUCUCAGCAAUGUCCUAAAUUGUGCUCAAAUUUGCACAUUUCAAUUGGAUCUGCUGUUAGAUAAAAAGUGGGAUAAAAUGUCCUCACGUUCACAUAUCUUAUUGUUUCUGCACUUUCAUCCGGGUGUAUGUUAUCCAGCUAUGCAUCAUAUACAACCCCAGAGCCGCCGGUUUAAGUCAGCUGCAAUAAAAUACUGUAACUCAAAGACAGGAAAUUGCAUGUGCAAUUGAUCGAGCAGAAAGUCUUAAAAGUGAACAUUUCUUAAAAGUAACCCUGCCGUCAUAUUCCGUGGGUGGAAGUUGAACUUGAUAUUGUAUAUUUUCCAUAGUGCCAUGAAUGCUAGAGGUCAUGUUUUCUAAAUUUAACACUACCGCAUGUCAAGCUUUUGGUCCACACUGUAAAGUCACAGUGUGCAUGAUUCGGUCAGGCAGUGGCUUCCAUCUAAAAUGUUAUCAGAUACUGCAUGUGCCAUUGAAUUUACUGUAAUACAACUCACAGUUCUUUGAUGACAAAUGAGCCAUUUUUGUCUGAAUGGUUCUAUACAGGAUCUUUCUUUUUUGUAGUAGAAAAAUGUUCUUUGAUUAUAAAAAGUGAGAAAGAAAUGGUUCUUAUAAGAAAUAUUUUAGAAAUAUAUAGAAAGAUAUUUUAUGGUACCACUGUGAGUUAACAGUAUCUGCCAAAUGCAUAGAUGUAAACAUAUACAGCCACAGAAAAACAUUAAGAGAUCAUUUCAAAAUAUGUUUUCAGUUGUUCUGAAUUUACGUGUUUAGGUGAAAUUAUCACUUUUGUUUCAUUUGAACUACUAACAACAUUUCUCCCAAAUUUAAAAUAAAAAUAUUGUUUCUAUUUGCAUUCAUUUGCAGAAAAUGAAAACUGGAGAAACCGGUCAAAAUUACAGGAAAGAUGCUCUGUAUUUUUUCAGACCUCAAAUACUGCAAGAAAACAAGUUCAUAUUCACUUUUAAGCAAUAUUUGAAGAGUUUGGUUCCAAAAUGAGAACUCAAUUUCUUUCAAAAAUCAUGUUUUUUAUUGUGCAUUCCAAUUAAUA